AGAGUUUGAUCAUGGCUCAGAACGAACGCUGGCGGCGUGCCUAAUACAUGCAAGUCGAACGUUAAGUGUAGCAAUACACUGAAAGUGGCGAACGGGUGAGUAACACGUAAGUAAUCUGCCUUUAAGAUUGGGAUAACCUUGCCAACGCGGGGCUAAUACCGGAUGUGGUUGACAUGACGCAUGUUGUGUUAAUUAAAGGAGUGAUCCGCUUAAAGAUGAACUUGCGGCCCAUUAGUUAGUUGGCGGGGUAAUGGCCCACCAAGACCGCGAUGGGUAGCCGGCCUGAGAGGGUGAACGGCCACAUUGGGACUGAGAUACGGCCCAGACUCCUACGGGAGGCAGCAGUAGGGAAUUUUGCGCAAUGGACGAAAGUCUGACGCAGCAACGCCGCGUGAGGGAUGAAGGUCUUCGGAUUGUAAACCUCUGUUGAAUGGGAAAAAAGGUAGCAAUAUUUGAUGGUACCAUUUGAGGAAGCACCGGCUAACUACGUGCCAGCAGCCGCGGUAAUACGUAGGGUGCAAGCGUUGUUCGGAAUCACUGGGCGUAAAGAGAGCGUAGGCGGGAUUGUAAGUUAGAAGUUUAAUACAAGGGCUCAACCCUUGAGCGGCUUUUAAUACUGCAGUUCUUGAAUGUGGGAGAGGGCGAUGGAAUUCCAGGUGUAGCGGUGGAAUGCGUAGGUAUCUGGAAGAACACCAGUAGCGAAAGCGGUCGCCUGGCUUAACAUUGACGCUGAGCUCGAAAGCUAGGGGAGCAAACAGGAUUAGAUACCCUGGUAGUCCUAGCCGUAAACGAUGAACACUAGUUGCCGGAGAGUCAAUCUUUUUGGUGACGAAGCUAACGCAUUAAGUGUUCCGCUGGAAGUACGCUCGCAAGAGUGAAACUCAAAGGAAUUGACGG
rnacentral:rRNA from 1 species